ACGAACGUUAGCGGCGCGCCUAACACAUGCAAGUCGCACGAGAAAGGGCUUCGGCCCCGGUACAGUGGCGCACGGGUGAGUAACACGUGGGUAAUCUGCCUUCGAGCGGGGGAUAACAUUCCGAAAGGAGUGCUAAUACCGCAUAAGACCACGCCCUCGAAAGAGGAAGCGGUCAAAGCUGGCCUCUAUACAUAAGCUAGCACUCGAAAAUGAGCCCGCGGAGCAUCAGCUAGUUGGUGAGGUAAUGGCUCACCAAGGCAUAGACGCUUAGCUGGUCUGAGAGGAUGAUCAGCCACACUGGAACUGAGACACGGUCCAGACUCCUACGGGAGGCAGCAGUGGGGAAUCUUGCGCAAUGGGCGAAAGCCUGACGCAGCGACGCCGCGUGAGUGAUAAAGGCC
rnacentral:rRNA from 1 species